AGGCACGCGCUCCUCGAAACCAAGGAAGGGCGUGAUUCAAUCAUGGCUAGUUACCUAUUCACUGGACAGAAAAUAAACAACCCCAACUUGCAUAUGCAAAAAGAAAUAUAUAUAUUUUACUCAGAGCCAGGGCGUAAAAAAAAAAAUAUAUAUAUAUUUUUUCUUUUUGACUAAAGUAAAGCCACAUGAUGAUGCAGUGCAGCAGGAAGUCGUCGAGUUCAUCGCCAUUAUUAUUCCAAGAGCUCCAUGCCCUAUGAGAGUUCCUCCGAUUAUUAAACAGAAGCUCAACGUCCGGACCGGACUGGAAAUACUGAGUGGCGCCUUGGACUUUCGAGCUGAUGACUCCGAGCAGCUAAUUCGUGCUUGUGGUCAAAUACUCCCUGCUCAAAGUAACCCACCUGUGGAUGUCAAAUUUCAAAUCAUCUCUAUAUUUUCUUUUCCAUGUCACGGCCAGGUGUCCCAACAUUUCUUAUUAACCUAUAGCUUUAUUGACACACAACAUUCCAAUGGUGUAACUGUAAAGCUUUUCAUGAAACCGUUUCUCAGGGUUUGAAUGACCUGUCAAUCAUCGGCAUGGCCUCAAGUGUUUACUUGUUAAGUUACCAGGUAAGGAAAUCACUAUGCACUUGUGUUGCAACACGUGCUCCCAUGGAAAGGUGUGGGAGGCGUGUGUUGGUAUAACAUCACGUCACGUAGCAACAAUCCUUUUUGAUGAUCCAGAUUAUUCUAUCGAACAGGAUUAAGCACGUCAUGGCGAAACGUCAUCACCGUAAUUCGUUAAAUUUGGAACGCCUCACCUCAAAACUGUGAAGCUGUGAUUUUACAAAGUCUAUUGUCGUUUUAAAUAUUUUAAAUGAUGCCAAUCUUUUGGGAUUAAAGUGAACUUCUUUGAAAA